CUACGGGCCGCUGCAGUUCGGAAUAUUCCGCAAUGGGCGAAAGCCUGACGGAGCAACGCCGCGUGCGCGAAGACGGCCUUCGGGUUGUAAAGCGCUUUUGGCCACGAACAAUAUAUUGAGCUUAGUGGCAGAAUAAGAGGUUGCUAACUCUGUGCCAGCAGCAGCGGUAAUACAGAGACCUCAAACGUUAUCCGGAAUCAUUGGGCGUAAAGCGUACCGACAGGUGGUUUGACAAGUCAGGAGUAAAAUACUAGAGCUCAACUCUAGCAUCGCUUUUGAAACUGUCAAACUAGAGGGGCAAAGAGGAAGCUGGAACAAACGGUGUAGCAGUGAAAUGCGUUGAUAUCGUUUGGAACACCGAUAGCGAAGGCAGGCUUCUGGGUGCCACCUGACACUGCUAGGACGAAAGCGUGGGGAGCGAAUGGGAUUAGAUACCCGAGUAGUC
rnacentral:rRNA from 1 species